UACGAAGGGGGCUAGCGUUGCUCGGAAUCACUGGGCGUAAAGGGUGCGUAGGCGGGUUUUUAAGUCAGGGGUGAAAUCCCGGAGCUCAACUCCGGAACUGCCUUUGAUACUGAGGGUCUUGAGUCCGGGAGAGGUGAGUGGAACUGCGAGUGUAGAGGUGAAAUUCGUAGAUAUUCGCAAGAACACCAGUGGCGAAGGCGGCUCACUGGCCCGGUACUGACGCUGAGGUGCGAAAGCGUGGGGAGCAAACAGG
rnacentral:rRNA from 1 species